ACUCCUACGGGAGGCAGCAGUAGGGAAUCUUCCACAAUGGGCGCAAGCCUGAUGGAGCAACACCGCGUGAGUGAAGAAGGGUUUCGGCUCGUAAAGCUCUGUUGUUAAAGAAGAACACGUAUGAGGGUAACUGUCAUACGUUGACGGUAUUAACCAGAAAGUCACGGCUAACUACGUGCCAGCAGCCGCGGUAAUACGUAGGUGGCAAGCGUUAUCCGGAUUUAUUGGGCGUAAAAGAGAGUGCAGGCGGUUUCUAAGUCUGAUGUGAAAGCCUUCGGCGUUAACCGGAGAAGUGCAUCGGAAACUGGAUAACUUGAGUGCAGAAGAGGUAGUGGAACUCAUGUGUAGCGGUGGAAUGCGUAGAUAUAUGGAAGAACACCAGUGGCGAAGGCGGCUACCUGGUCUGCAACUGACGCUGAGACUCGAAAGCAUGAGUAGCGAACAGGAUUAGAUACCCC
rnacentral:rRNA from 1 species